UACGUAGGUGGCAAGCGUUGUCCGGAUUUACUGGGCGUAAAGAGCGCGCAGGCGGUCGUGCAAGUCGCGUGUGAAAGCCCCCGGCUCAACUGGGGAGGGUCACGCGAUACUGCUCGACUUGAAGGCAGGAGAGGGGAAGUGGAAUUCCCGGUGUAGCGGUGAAAUGCGCAGAUAUCAGGAGGAACACCGGUGGCGAAGGCGGGUCUCUGGGCCGGAACUGACGCUAAGGAGCGAAAGCGUGGGGAGCGAACGAGG
rnacentral:rRNA from 1 species